ACCCUGAGUUCCUCCAAGUCUAUUUGAUUCAAAUCAGCAUGACGGUGCCUAAAUCAUUGUUUAUUAGUGUAGUCUAAGGUCCUUGGAUUGGCGGUAUUUCCCCAAUAUCUGAAUUAUUGUGUUUAGAAGACAUUUCUGGACGAGGCACAGUCUAAGCAAUGGAGACAAAGUGAACCAAGAUUGGAGUCCUAGAGGUGGCUGACCCAUGAGACAGAAAGCUUAUCAGUUCCACUUGAAGGGACAAGAGCAGUUUCUUUAGUGCACAAUUGAGAGUUAAAACCAAUAUUGAAAAAGAAACCUCAAAGAUGCAAAUGCCAAAUGAAUCAUAAAUAGUAGUCAAAAACAAAGUAAAAUAAAUACUUUAAAUAAUAAUACCAUCUAUGUCUGGUGAGAUGUAUAUCCCAAAAUACUAAAAACGUCUUUUACCUAAAUGUACAGCUGAGAGAGCUCACCGAUAAAUUCUUUCUUUCUCUCUGCAUACCAACCCCUAAUCUCCUUCUCCCAGUUUUAUUUAAAGCUUCUCUUAUGUAAAAAGUUCAGGGCAUAGGGGGAAAAAUAUGAAAAUGCAUUAAUACAUUUUCCAAAUAAAACAAAACAAAAGGUUAGGGGUCAUUUGGACACUGGGUGAGUCAGGGCACCUUAUGUGCAAGAUUAUGGGUUACAGCCAAUGGGUGAAAGAGACUAUGUGUGUAUGGGGGCGGGGGACAAGCCUCUCCCUUGUGAAGAAUGAUUUUCAGAAGAACUCAUUAAAUAUAACUUUCCUUUUAUAUGGGGGAAAGUCAUUUCUAUCAAAACUAUGAUUUCUAGCAGAACCCAAACAUAAUCUUUUUCAUUGUGCAUUGAUAUUCUGCAACCUAAAGCAGCAUUUAAUUAGUUAAAACUAGAGAUGUAUAAUCUCUCCAGAUGUUCAAGUUAUGAGAAAAACUUUUUCCUUGGACAUGGAAGAAAAUUAUGAUAACACUGAAAUAUAUAUUUAUACAUCCCUUUCAGGUCUAAAAUCACUUUGUGGGAUUAGUCACAUAGAAAUAUAAUAAAUCUGCCAUGACUUGUUCAUAGAAUCUUUUUUUGUUGAUGUUGUUCUGGCCACACUUGCAGAAUGUGGAAGUUCCCAGGCCAGGGAUCGAAUCUGCAUCACAGCAGUGAUAGGAGUCUCUGCAGUGACAACACUGGAUCCUUAACAUGCUGCACCACAAGGGAACUCCCUUGUUCUUAGAAUCUUGAGGUCUAGUGCACAGGAGAGAUGUGACUGUCAAGAGGAAUAAUUUGGUCAAGGAGGAAGUCAUUUUUUUCACCUUUGGGUUUAAAUAACCAACAAAUUCAUUCCCCUCUAACCACCUACUUCAUUGUUCACACUUCAGUAUUUGUCUCCCGGUAAUAUAAUUUUCUAUUUGUUCAUCCAUCUUCCCCACCAUACUCCAAGCUCAGCAGUGGCAAGGACUGUAUCUUAUUCAUUUAAGAUCCUGAGAGACCUAGGAGAAUGCCUGGCCUUCAAGCAUUCAAAAAACUGAGUAGACACUUAAUAAAUAUCACAGAAAUGGAGGCAGAAAAGUGAUUAUAUCAACACUCUCUCCAAGCUUUGAAUUGCUGUCAUUUUCACCUAUUUUUCUUGGGUUAACAAAAGGCUAAGUGUAAAUCCCAAAGAAAGGUGGGGUCAGAAGAGUCAGAAACCAUGCCAAGUAAGGAUUAGGAUUGUUCUAGAAACAUUGGAUGAAAUUAAUUUAUCCCAACAAGAGUACUUUUUGCUCUUCUCCUUCGACAACCUAAGUCAUAAAAAAGAUUAAGCCUUUGCGAGGUCCGGGAAAUAGCAGCCAAACACCAAUAGGGUGUACCCGAAGAGGGCGCUCUUACCCCAGAUAUUCAUAAAUGAUGCCUUUUUUGAACAUUUGCCCACAGCAGGGGCAACAGAGAAAGCCUAGCAUUCUUUCCUAAGGAGCUCAUAAUUCUCCCAGCCAAGUAAGAAGGAAAAGGGAAAAUACCAAGGGUGAAAACUUGGUAGAGGUGAAUGCCAAAGACAUGGACCGAGCUGUGGGUUCCAUGCACUCUGGAGACAGAGCUUUAUAUGGUUCUCAAAAGACUACCUCCUCCUCACCAAAGUUUAAGUAAUAAAAGAAAAAAUGCCAAAGAGAAACUAUACUGAGCCAACCCACAUUCUGUACUGCAUUAACCUCUCCCUCUGCUCUGCCUUUCAGGUCUUUUUAUUUCUACUUGUUAGAACAAGUCAUUUCAUUCUACGUUUAGACCAAACCAGGACAUUUGCCAGACCUGUAGUGGUAAGGGAUGGAGCUGUUGUACCUACUGGGGCAAGAACUCUUGUGUUCUCCCUGAUGGUCCGUGGGGCCUGCCUUGGCUUCUGAGCUGUGGAAACCGAUGACUUUUGUCUCUGCCUUCACUCUUCUUUGGAACAGUCACAGACCAAGGGUCUGAACUUUGGGAGUGAAGGAACUUUGGUUCUCCUUCUCUGACAGCUGUCAUCAUACAUGACAAAUCCAUAGAUUAGGAGGUGAGUGCCCCCAUCUCAUCCUGUCUCAGAGCCCUGUCUUCCUCAAGGCCAGCUCUGUUUGGGAAUUUCAUCUGUCUACUGGUCCUUCUCCUUCAACUUGUCCACAAGGUGCCUUCUCCUGUGUAUGGCUCUACAAUUCCUCCACCAUUGCUCCUGCACUGGCGCAGGGCCUCAACAUUCCUAUAGGCAUCUAGCAGUCUCCCCACUGCAGUCCUAGACCCCGAGCAGUCCUUCACUCUGCAUUGGAGUUCCCUUCCUGGAGAAAGAUCUGAGCCCUGACCACCUCACUCUCACUGCCCACCACUCUUCCUGUUGCUUAUUCCUGCCAGACGGUCCUCUGUGUUGUUCCCUGAACAUAAUUGUGCUCCUGUCUCAGUACGUUUGGACAUGUGGUUCCCUCUGUCUAGAAGUAUAGUCCCCAAAUGAUUCAUUCUCUCAAUUCAUUCAGGGUUAUGCCCAAAUACCAAGCCUUUGCUGACCACAUGCGUCUACACCAUAUGACCCAAUACGCUGACACGCUUGCUUUUCUUUAUAGCACUCACCCCUCCCUGACAUCCUGCUGAAUAUCUGAGUGGGUUUUUUUUUUCUCUCAGUUCCAUGAGGUCAAAGACUUUGUUCUGUCUUGUCCACAACUGUAUUUGCAACACUUGGCACACUGGGUGUUCCCAAUAAAUAUUUAGUUAAUUAAUUAGAUCCUACUUUUCAUCCACUCAGUUCCCCCUCUUCCAUCCCCUCAGGUGCUCCUCAUUUACUCCAGAAUCAAACCAAAUCCUAGAGCAGCAUGGCAUUCAGGGCUCAUGACCUGACUCUAUCUUCCUUUGGUGGCCUUAUCUCCUGCCACACACACCCCCUACCUGCAGGGCACCCAAACUCUAGCCAAGCCUUGUAAGAUACUACCUGUGUUCACGCCUGCAUGCCUUUGCUCCCGCCUUUUGUUCUGUCACCAUUUGUUGAAAUCUUCUGAAUCUCUUAAAACUCUUCCAACAUUCCCUCUCCCCAUAGUAAAAACUCCUGCUCUUCUCCCUUCCAUCUCAGCCAUUGACAGUUCUGUCCUUCAGUAUCAGUUUGUGCAUCUCUUACAUUAUGUCCUGUGCAUAAAUUAUGUCUCUAUUUAGCUUUCUCUACCAGUCCACAACAUAUAGGAAGUGAUAUUCACUCUUUUAACUCCCAUGCCUGUGAAGCAGGGGUCUCAAGCUCAAAUGCCCACAGAAGCCAGGCACAAAGUCAGUGAGGCACAUAAGUGUAUUAGUCUGCCGACGCUGUUGUAACAAAAUACCACAGACUUGGAGGCUUAGAUAAUAGAAAUUCCCUUUCUCAUGGUUCUGGAGACAAAAUCCAAGAUCAAGGUCCAUCAAGACUGGUUAUUAGUGAAGCCUCUCUUCCCAAUUCUAGGUGCUGCCUUCUCCCCGGGUCCUCACAUGGCCUAUCCUCUGUACCCACGUGGAGAGGGAAUAUCUUCUCUGGUGUCACUUCCUUUUCUUACAAGGACACCAGUCCUGUGGGACCAGAGCCCCACCCUUAGGACUUCAUUUAACUUUAAUUGCCUUCUUAAAGGUCCCAUCUCCAAAUAUAGUCACAUGGGGGGUAGGGCUUCAACAUAUGAAUUUGGGGGGAAUACAUUUCAGUCCAUCACACUGAGCAGGGCAGGACUAGACAACUGGAAGACAGUUCCCGUCUAAACAGAGGGAGCUGCUCUUAAGCUUCAGCAAAUGGUCCCAGGCCUGACAAGCUGGCCUAAUAUUCCCAACCUUCAGAACACGAAAGAAGCUAGAAAUCUGGAAAAUUCUUAGGUGAAUUCUCUUACUUUUAAAAUCUUAGGAGCUAAUUAAAACAUACUUCUAAUUAUGUAUGCAACACAAAUCCUGCCCUCCGGACCAAAAAUUGGCUGCUUUCUGAAUUCCUGUAGGAACACUGGGCAAAGCCUUGUUAAACACUUUUCAAGGAAGUGGUUUGCUAAUGUGUGUGGUCUUGUUUGGGAAACUCUGAAAUGGAAAUGAUAUGGCAGGGAAAAUGUCUGAUUCUAACUGUCGUGCUGCCUACUCCUCUUCCCCACCUCGUUCAUCCUCUAACAAGCUGCUGCGGCCACUGCCUGCCUCUCUACUCCCAUCUCCCCUGCUCAGCCAAGCAGACCUGGACAGACCCUCUCUGAGCACGAGUCCAGUUCUGACACCAGCAAUUAAUGGGGGUGAGAGAAAGUGGAGUCAGUUCAGAAAAAAGCCACAGAGCUGUUAGAGGUCUGAAAAAUAAAGAUCAGAAGAGGUUAAAGGAACCAAGGUAAUUCUGUUUAGAGCCAAGAGGGUUAUAGGGUUAGCUUGCAGUGGUUUUCAAGUAUAUCAAAGGCUCAUGCCUAGGACAGUAAUGAGCUGUUCUCCCCACUGAGAACAGAACAAACAGAAAACAGACUCCAAAUGCAGCAUGGGGAUUUGGAUGUGUCUUUCCUUACAGGUAUUUGUAAGGACUUUUGUAUUUGAAUGGACCUUUACAGUGAAAAAGUUCUUUUCUUCAGUUGUUAGCUCCCUUCUGGCUGUAACACUCUGUGGCUUUAAGAAAAUCCUAUUAGAAAAAGUUUUUGAUAAUGAAAGAAUGAGCCAUAAGGUACAAGAAAAACUUUCACCUAUGUGAGGAGCUGAUGAUGUGAUGGUGCUUAAUGAAAAAUGUAGUAUUUCUGUUUUUACUCACAAGACCCACUUCAUACAGAAGCAACUGAAACCUGAAUGACUUUGGUAACAUGUUCAAGGCCACAGAGGGCUAUAAACAGCCACAUUUUCCCCAUCACAUACCUUCCAGUUACAUACCAAGAAAGCUGGGUUUUCUCCACUAAAUAAGGAGGCGUGAGGAAGCAAUAAUAAGUAAACGGAUAUACAUAAGC
rnacentral:lncRNA from 1 species